UACGUAGGGUGCAAGCGUUGUCCGGAAUUAUUGGGCGUAAAGAGCUCGUAGGCGGUUUGUCGCGUCUGCUGUGAAAACGCGAGGCUCAACCUCGCGCCUGCAGUGGGUACGGGCAGACUAGAGUGCGGUAGGGGAGAUUGGAAUUCCUGGUGUAGCGGUGGAAUGCGCAGAUAUCAGGAGGAACACCGAUGCGAAGGCAGAUCUCUGGGCCGUAACUGACGCUGAGGAGCGAAAGCGUGGGGAGCGAACAGG
rnacentral:rRNA from 1 species